rnacentral:rRNA from 1 species
GACGGAGGGUGCGAGCGUUGUUCGGAAUUACUGGGCGUAAAGCGCGCGCAGGCGGGUGCGCAAGUCGGAGGUGAAAGCGCAGGGCUCAACCCUGCGACGCCCUUCGAGACUGCGUGUCUAGGGACCGGUAGAGGUGAGUGGAAUUCCCGGUGUAGCGGUGGAAUGCGUAGAUAUCGGGAAGAACACCGGAGGCGAAGGCGGCUCACUGGGCAGGAACAGACACUGAGGCGCGAAAGCGUGGGGAGCAAACAGG